rnacentral:rRNA from 1 species
GACGUGCUAAUCUGCGAUAAGCGUCGGUAAGGUGAUAUGAACCGUUAUAACCGGCGAUUUCCGAAUGGGGAAACCCAGUGUGAUUCGUCACACUAUCAUUAACUGAAUCCAUAGGUUAAUGAGGCGAACCGGGGGAACUGAAACAUCUAAGUACCCCGAGGAAAAGAAAUCAACCGAGAUUCCCCCAGUAGCGGCGAGCGAACGGGGAGCAGCCCAGAGCCUGAAUCAGUGUGUGUGUUAGUGGAAGCGUCUGGAAAGGCGUGCGAUACAGGGUGACAGCCCCGUACACAAAAAUGCACAUACUGUGAGCUCGAUGAGUAGGGCGGGACACGUGGUAUCCUGUCUGAAUAUGGGGGGACCAUCCUCCAAGGCUAAAUACUCCUGACUGACCGAUAGUGAACCAGUACCGUGAGGGAAAGGCGAAAAGAACCCCGGCGAGGGGAGUGAAAAAGAACCUGAAACCGUGUACGUACAAGCAGUGGGAGCACGCUUAGGCGUGUGACUGCGUACCUUUUGUAUAAUGGGUCAGCGACUUAUAUUCUGUAGCAAGGUUAACCGAAUAGGGGAGCCGAAGGGAAACCGAGUCUUAACUGGGCGUUAAGUUGCAGGGUAUAGACCCGAAACCCGGUGAUCUAGCCAUGGGCAGGUUGAAGGUUGGGUAACACUAACUGGAGGACCGAACCGACUAAUGUUGAAAAAUUAGCGGAUGACUUGUGGCUGGGGGUGAAAGGCCAAUCAAACCGGGAGAUAGCUGGUUCUCCCCGAAAGCUAUUUAGGUAGCGCCUCGUGAAUUCAUCUCCGGGGGUAGAGCACUGUUUCGGCAAGGGGGUCAUCCCGACUUACCAACCCGAUGCAAACUGCGAAUACCGGAGAAUGUUAUUACGGGAGACACACGGCGGGUGCUAACGUCCGUCGUGAAGAGGGAAACAACCCAGACCGCCAGCUAAGGUCCCAAAGUCAUGGUUAAGUGGGAAACGAUGUGGGAAGGCCCAGACAGCCAGGAUGUUGGCUUAGAAGCAGCCAUCAUUUAAAGAAAGCGUAAUAGCUCACUGGUCGAGUCGGCCUGCGCGGAAGAUGUAACGGGGCUAAACCAUGCACCGAAGCUGCGGCAGCGACGCUUAUGCGUUGUUGGGUAGGGGAGCGUUCUGUAAGCCUGUGAAGGUGUGCUGUGAGGUAUGCUGGAGGUAUCAGAAGUGCGAAUGCUGACAUAAGUAACGAUAAAGCGGGUGAAAAGCCCGCUCGCCGGAAGACCAAGGGUUCCUGUCCAACGUUAAUCGGGGCAGGGUGAGUCGACCCCUAAGGCGAGGCCGAAAGGCGUAGUCGAUGGGAAACAGGUUAAUAUUCCUGUACUUGGUGUUACUGCGAAGGGGGGACGGAGAAGGCUAUGUUGGCCGGGCGACGGUUGUCCCGGUUUAAGCGUGUAGGCUGGUUUUCCAGGCAAAUCCGGAAAAUCAAGGCCGAGGCGUGAUGACGAGGCACUACGGUGCUGAAGCAACAAAUGCCCUGCUUCCAGGAAAAGCCUCUAAGCAUCAGGUAACAUCAAAUCGUACCCCAAACCGACACAGGUGGUCAGGUAGAGAAUACCAAGGCGCUUGAGAGAACUCGGGUGAAGGAACUAGGCAAAAUGGUGCCGUAACUUCGGGAGAAGGCACGCUGAUACGUAGGUGAAGCGACUUGCUCGUGGAGCUGAAAUCAGUCGAAGAUACCAGCUGGCUGCAACUGUUUAUUAAAAACACAGCACUGUGCAAACACGAAAGUGGACGUAUACGGUGUGACGCCUGCCCGGUGCCGGAAGGUUAAUUGAUGGGGUUAGCGCAAGCGAAGCUCUUGAUCGAAGCCCCGGUAAACGGCGGCCGUAACUAUAACGGUCCUAAGGUAGCGAAAUUCCUUGUCGGGUAAGUUCCGACCUGCACGAAUGGCGUAAUGAUGGCCAGGCUGUCUCCACCCGAGACUCAGUGAAAUUGAACUCGCUGUGAAGAUGCAGUGUACCCGCGGCAAGACGGAAAGACCCCGUGAACCUUUACUAUAGCUUGACACUGAACAUUGAGCCUUGAUGUGUAGGAUAGGUGGGAGGCUUUGAAGUGUGGACGCCAGUCUGCAUGGAGCCGACCUUGAAAUACCACCCUUUAAUGUUUGAUGUUCUAACGUGGACCCGUGAUCCGGGUUGCGGACAGUGUCUGGUGGGUAGUUUGACUGGGGCGGUCUCCUCCUAAAGAGUAACGGAG